UGAAUACGAGAUGCUACGGCGUCGAAGCAGUGUAUGUCAGACUUCCAAGAAAAGCUCGCAAUGUCAUAAAUAAAGAAUGCCUGUACCAUAACCGACACUGGUGGGUAGGUAGAGUAUACUAAGGGGCGCGAGAUAACUCUCUCUAAGGAACUCGGCAAAAUAACUCCGUAACUUCGGGAGAAGGAGUGCCUUCUUUAAGAAGGUUGCAAUAACAAGAUCCAAGCAACUGUUUAUCAAAAACACAGGUCUCCGCUAAGUCGUAAGACGAUGUAUGGGGGCUGACGCCUGCCCAGUGCCAGAAGGUUAAAGAAGUUGGUUAGCUUUGCGAAGCUGAUGACUGAAGCCCUGGUGAACGGCGGCCGUAACAAUAACGGUCCUAAGGUAGCGAAAUUCCUUGUCGGGUAAGUUCCGACCCGCACGAAAGGCGUAAUGAUUUGGAUACUGUCUCGGAGAGGGACUCGGUGAAAUAGACUUGUCUGUGAAGAUGCGGACUACCUGCACCAGGACAGAAAGACCCUAUGAAGCUUUACUGUAACUUGAAAUUGAAAUUGGACUUUAUUUGCGCAGUAUAGGUGGAAGGCGUUGAAAGUAAUCUUGCGGGAUUAGUGGAGCCAUCAGUGAGAUACCACUCCUAUAAUGUUAGAUUUCUAACUUUGGAUCAUGAUCUGGUCAAAGAACAGUUUCAGGCGGGCAGUUUGACUGGGGCGGUCGCCUCCCAAAUGGUAACGGAGGCGUACAAAGGUUUCCUCUGAACGGGUAGAAAUCGUAUCUAGAGUGUAAAGGCAUAAGGAAGCUUGACUGUGAGACCUACAAGUCGAGCAGGGACGAAAGUCGGUCUUAGUGAUCUGACGGUGCUGAGUGGAAAGGCCGUCACUCAACGGAUAAAAGUUACUCUAAGGAUAACAGGCUGAUCUCCCCCAAGAGUUCACAUCGACGGGGAGGUUUGGCACCUCGAUGUCGGCUCAUCGCAUCCUGGGGCGGUAGUACGUCCCAAGGGUUGGGCUGUUCGCCCAUGAAAGCGGUACGCGAGCUGGGUUCAGAACGUCGUGAGACAGUUCGGUCCAUAUCCGGUGUAGGCGUUAGAAUAUUGAGAGGAGCCUUCUUUAGUACGAGAGGACCGAGAAGGACAUACCUUUGGUGUACCAGUUAUCGUGCCAACGGUAAACGCUGGGUAGCUAUGUAUGGAGAGGAUAACCGCUGAAAGCAUCUAAGUGGGAAGCCCACCUCAAGAUGAGUAUUCUC
rnacentral:rRNA from 1 species